AUCACUAAGCGGAGGAAAAGAAACUAACAAGGAUUCCCCUAGUAACGGCGAGUGGAGCGGGAAGAGCCCAGCACCGAAUUGCCCACCGCGUGGUGGUGCAAAGUGUGGUGUUAGGGACGGCCUUUGGGGCAGAGUACCGGUGCCCAAGUCCUCCUGAUCGGGGCUUCACCCAUGGCGGGUGUCAGGCCCUUACAGGCGCCGGUCUCAGUCGCUCUGGACGUCCUUGGAGUCGGGUUGUUUGAGAAUGCAGCCCAAAGUUGGUGGUAAACUCCAUCUAAGGCUAAAUACUGGCACGAGUCCGAUAGCGGACAAGUACCGUGAGGGAAAGUU
rnacentral:rRNA from 1 species